rnacentral:rRNA from 1 species
GUGCCAGCAGCCGCGGUAAUACAGAGGGUGCGAGCGUUAAUCGGAAUUACUGGGCGUAAAGCGUGCGUAGACGGUUAUGUAAGUCAGGUGUGAAAGCCCCGGGCUCAACCUGGGAAUUGCAUUUGAGACUGCAUAGCUAGGGUGCGGAAGAGGGAAGCGGAAUUUCCGGUGUAGCGGUGAAAUGCGUAGAUAUCGGAAGGAACAUCAGUGGCGAAAGCGGCUUCCUGGUCCAGCACCGACGUUCAGGCACGAAAGCGUGGGGAGCAAACAGGAUUAGAAACCCUCGUAGUCC